CAACAGUUUCUCUCGUCAAAUAAUUGCGUGAAACCUUUGGAAUUUAGUUUGCCCGAUUCAUCAAUCCAUUUUCGAAAGAGCUCGUCUUACAGUGAGCAGGAGCCCAUAACAGUUGACUUGGGCGAGAGACAUAGGACACUCUGAUUAUUAAACUAUCAUCAAGUACUGAUUCCAACUACCCUACCUGACAAUCACUUAGAGGGGAGGACAGCUACAACUGUCAAUCCCAAAAUAUGUUAGGUUUAUUUAGUGAACAGUCUAAAGUCUCCAAAGAUUUGAAUGCGGGUGUGAAU